UCGGGAAUUUUGGGCAAUGGGCGAAAGCCUGACCCAGCAACGCCGCGUGAAGGAUGAAGUAUUUCGGUAUGUAAACUUCGUAAGAAUAGGAAGAAUAAAUGACGGUACUAUUUGUAAGGUCCGGCUAACUACGUGCCAGCAGCCGCGGUAAUACGUAGGGACCAAGCGUUGUUCGGAUUUACUGGGCGUAAAGGGCGCGUAGGCGGCGUGGUAAGUCAGCUGUGAAAUCUCCGAGCUUAACUCGGAACGGUCAGCUGAUACUGCUGUGCUAGAGUACAGAAAGGGCAAUCGGAAUUCUUGGUGUAGCGGUGAAAUGCGUAGAUAUCAAGAGGAACACCUGAGGCGAAGGCGGGUUGCUAGGCUGAUACUGACGCUGAGUGCGCGAAAGCUAGGGUAGCAAAC
rnacentral:rRNA from 1 species